GCGGCCGUCGGUGCAGAUCUUGGU
rnacentral:ncRNA from 2 species